rnacentral:rRNA from 1 species
GCAUAUCAAUAAGCGGAGGAAAAGAAACCAACAGGGAUUGCCCCAGUAACGGCGAGUGAAGCGGCAAAAGCUCAAAUUUGAAAUCUGGCUCCUUCCGGGGUCCGAGUUGUAAUUUGAAGAGGAUGCUUUGGGUGCGUCCGCGGCGUAAGUCCCCUGGAACGGGGUGUCAGAGAGGGUGAGAAUCCCGUCUUGAGUCGCUGGUACGUGCCCGUCUAAAGCUCCUUCGACGAGUCGAGUUGUUUGGGAAUGCAGCUCUAAGUGGGUGGUAAAUUUCAUCUAAAGCUAAAUAUUGGCCGGAGACCGAUAGCGAACAAGUAGAGUGAUCGAAAGGUUAAAAGCACCUUGAAAAGGGAGUUAAAUAGCACGUGAAAUUGUUGAAAGGGAAGCGCUUGCAGCCAGACUCGAGCGCGGGGGCUCAGCGGGCAUCGUUAUGCCCGUGCACUCCCCCGCGCCCGGGCCAGCAUCAGUUUUGGCGGCCGGUCAAAGGCCCCCGGAAUGUAUCGUCCUCCGGGACGUCUUAUAGCCGGGGGUGCAAUGCGGCCAGCCGGGACUGAGGAACGCGCUUCGGCACGGAUGCUGGCGUAAUGGCUGUAAGCGGCCCGUCUUGAAACACGGACC